GGAUAAACGCUGGCGGCGUGCCUAAUGCAUGCAAGUCGAACGGGAGCGCCUUCGGGCGUCGACCGUGGCGGACGGGUGAGGAACACGUAGCUAACCUGCCUCGAUGCGGGGGAUAGCCACCGGAAACGGUGCGUAAUACCGCAUGUGGUCGGGGCCUCGGGGAGAGGCGUGAUCAAAGCCGUAAGGCGUGUUGAGGAGGGGGCUGCGGCCGAUUAGCUUAGUUGGGUGGGGUAAGACGCCACCAAGGCGAUGAUCGGUAGCUGGUCUGAGAGGACGGCCAGCCACGAC
rnacentral:rRNA from 1 species